rnacentral:rRNA from 1 species
GACGAACGCUGGCGGCGUGCCUAAUACAUGCAAGUAGAACGCUGAAGGAGGAGCUUGCUUCUCUGGAUGAGUUGCGAACGGGUGAGUAACGCGUAGGUAAUCUGCCUGGUAGCGGGGGAUAACUAUUGGAAACGAUAGCUAAUACCGCAUAAGAGUAGAUGUUGCAUGACAUUUGCUUAAAAGGUGCAAUUGCAUCACUACCAGAUGGACCUGCGUUGUAUUAGCUAGUUGGUGGGGUAACGGCUCACCAAGGCGACGAUACAUAGCCGACCUGAGAGGGUGAUCGGCCACACUGGGACUGAGACACGGCCCAGACUCCUACGGGAGGCAGCAGUAGGGAAUCUUCGGCAAUGGACGGAAGUCUGACCGAGCAACGCCGCGUGAGUGAAGAAGGUUUUCGGAUCGUAAAGCUCGGUUGUAAGAGAAGAACGAGUGUGAGAGUGGAAAGUUCACACUGUGACGGUAUCUUACCAGAAAGGGACGGCUAACUACGUG